CACUGCUGUCACAUGACGGCAAUCAUGCACAUGAAGCUCAUAAAUUCUUAUCAAGAACUACAUCAACAACAUCCUCUAUUUCCAACAUGAAGUCUGCCAUCAUCGCUGCCCUUAUCGGCUCUGCCGCCGCUUUCGCCCCUGCCCAAACCGGCAAGGCCACCACCGCCCUUAACGCCUUCGAGAACGAGCUUGGUGCUCAGGCUCCCCUUGGCUU
rnacentral:ribozyme from 1 species